rnacentral:rRNA from 1 species
GAUGAACGCUGACAGAAUGCUUAACACAUGCAAGUCCACUUGAACUUCGGUUUGGGUGGCGGACGGGUGAGUAACGCGUAAAGAACUUGCCUCACAGAUAGGGACAACAUUUGGAAACGAAUGCUAAUACCUGAUAUUAUGAUUAUAUGGCAUCGUAUAAUUAUGAAAGCUAUAUGCGCUGUGAGAGAGCUUUGCGUCCUAUUAGCUAGUUGGAGAGGUAACGGCUCACCAAGGCGAUGAUGGGUAGCCGGCCUGAGAGGGUGAUCGGCCACAAGGGGACUGAGACACGGCCCUUACUCCUACGGGAGGCAGCAGUGGGGAAUAUGGGACAAUGGACCAAGAGUCUGAUCCAGCAAUUCUGUGUGCACGAUGAAGUUUUUCGGAAUGUAAAGUGCUUUCAGUUGGGAAGAAAAAAAUGACGGUACCAACAGAAGAAGUGACGGCUAAAUACGUG